rnacentral:sRNA from 1 species
GGACAAUCUCAGGGAAGUAUUUUGCAUGUGAUGGAAGAAUGACCCAAGGUCUUUGGAUUGCUAAUAAUAAUACUGUUCUGUGUCAAGCCUGCUUGGCCACAGACCAACUCUGGUAUCUUAUUUUCAGGUGAAUUUUACCGGGAAGGCCGAGAUGGGAGGACCGUUUUCCUAUGUGUACUUCUUCUGCACGGUACCUGAGAUCCUGGUGCACAACAUAGUGAUCUUCAUGCGAACUUCAGUGAAGAUUUCAUACAUUGGCCUCAUGACCCAGAGCUCCUUGGAGACACAUCACUAUGUGGAUUGUGGAGGAAAUUCCACAGCUAUUUAACAACUGCUAUUGGUUCUUCCACACAGCACCUGUAGAAGAGAGCACAGCAUAUGUUCCCAAGGCCUGAGUUCUGGACGUACCCCCACGUGGUGUAAGCAGAGGAGGAAUUGGUUCACUUAACUCCCAGCAAACAUCCUCCUGCCACUUAGGAGGAAACACCUCCCUAUGGUACCAUUUAUGUUUCUCAGAACCAGCAGAAUCACUGCCCAGUGCCUAGCCUGUGCCCAGCAAAUAGUUGGCACUCAAUAAAGAUUUGCAGAAUUUAA